rnacentral:rRNA from 1 species
UUAUACAACUUUCAGCAACGGAUCUCUUGGCUCUCGCAUCGAUGAAGAACGCAGCGAAAUGCGAUAAGUAAUGUGAAUUGCAGAAUUCAGUGAAUCAUCGAAUCUUUGAACGCACCUUGCGCUCCUUGGUAUUCCGAGGAGCAUGCCUGUUUGAGUG